rnacentral:rRNA from 1 species
UAGAGUUUGAUCCUGGCUCAGAGCGACCGUUUGAGGCGGGCCUAACAUAUGCAAGUCGAACGCACUAGCACUCGUGAGUGGCGCACGGGUGCGUAACACGUGGGUAAUCAACCCUUCAGCUUGGGAUAACGACUUGAAAGGGUCGCUAAUACCGGAUACGGCGCGGGAGGCUUCGGCUUCUCACGAGAAAGCCUCGCAGGGGGCACUGAAGGACGAGCCUGCGGCCCAUCAGCUAGUUGGUGAGGUAAGAGCUCACCAAGGCGAAGACGGGUAGCUGGUCUGAGAGGAUGAUCAGCCACACUGGAACUGAGACACGGUCCAGACUCCUACGGGAGGCAGCAGUGGGGAAUAUUGCGCAAUGGGCGAAAGCCUGACGCAGCCACGCCGCGUGAGCGAUGAAGGCCUUCGGGUCGUAAAGCUCUGUGGGGAGAGACGAAGAAAGCCCGUGAAGAGCGGGCCUUGACGGUAUCUCCUUAGCAAGCACCGGCUAACUCCGUGCCAGCAGC